rnacentral:lncRNA from 1 species
AUUUACGUACACUUUGACGGCUACGGAAGACGAAAUCCGGCAGCCAAUAAGAGAGUUUGGAGAAAAUAUGGUGGAUGGGAUCGAAAUGUAGACAAAGCGAUUUGUUUAGGCGCUCUGCUAUCAUAAUAAAAAUAUUAAACACUAUUGUAAUAAAUUUAAAGCAUACAGGGAAGAAAUUUGUCCUAAAGGUUCAGAUUUUAAAUAUAAUUAGGACUACGGCUGCCUUAACAAUAUGGGAGUCGCUAGAAUCAGCUGUUUGCAUUAGCUGGUGGCCAAAUAGCUACCACUUGUUUGUAAGCAGUAGCCAAAAUGGAAAUUCUGGUAGCAAUUGGCUACUUGGCUACCAGGUUUGUUGAGCCCUGAAGUUUACUAUUCAUUAGAAAAAAAAUUAUAAAAAAAUCAAAUUUUUAAUAAUAUGAUGCAAGUCAUACAUUAAACUAUAG